rnacentral:rRNA from 1 species
CAGCCGCCGCGGUAAUACGGAGGGAGCUAGCGUUGUUCGGAACUACUGGGCGUAAAGCGCACGUAGGCGGCUUUGUAAGUUAGAGGUGAAAGCCUGGAGCUCAACUCCAGAACUGCCUUUAAGACUGCAUCGCUUGAAUCCAGGAGAGGUGAGUGGAAUUCCGAGUGUAGAGGUGAAAUUCGUAGAUAUUCGGAAGAACACCAGUGGCGAAGGCGGCUCACUGGACUGGUAUUGACGCUGAGGUGCGAAAGCGUGGGGAGCAAACAGGAUUAGAUACCCGGGUAGUCCCUGUCUCUUAUAC